UACGUAGGGGGCAAGCGUUGUCCGGAAUUAUUGGGCGUAAAGAGCUCGUAGGCGGCUUGUCACGUCGGGUGUGAAAGCCCGGGGCUUAACCCCGGGUCUGCAUUCGAUACGGGCAGGCUAGAGUGUGGUAGGGGGAGAUCGGAAUUCCUGGUGUAGCGGUGAAAUGCGCAGGAUAUCAGGAGGAACACCGGUGGCGAAGGCGGAUCUCUGGGCCAUUACUGACGCUGAGGAGCGAAAGCGUGGGGAGCGAACAGG
rnacentral:rRNA from 1 species